rnacentral:rRNA from 1 species
UACGUAGGUGGCAAGCGUUGUCCGGAUUUAUUGGGUUUAAAAGGGUGCGUAGGCGGCCCUGUAAGUCAGUGCUGAAAUAUCCCAGCUUAACUGGGAGGGUGGCAUUGAUACUGCGGGGCUAGAGUACAGAUGAGGUAGGCGGAAUUGACGGUGUAGCGGUGAAAUGCUUAGAUAUCGUCAAGAACACCUAUAGCGAAGGCAGCUUACUAGGCUGUAACUGACGCUGAGGCACGAAAGUGUGGGGGAUCAAACAGG